rnacentral:rRNA from 1 species
UACAGAGGUGGCAAGCGUUGUUCGGAAUUACUGGGCGUAAAGGGCGAGUAGGUGGCCAUCUAAGUCAGACGUGAAAUCCCCGGGCUUAACCUGGGAACUGGCAGUCGAGACUGUCUAGCUAGAGUAUGGGAGAGGGAAGUGGAAUUUCAGGUGUAGCGGUGAAAUGCGUAGAUAUCUGAAGGAACAUCAGUGGCGAAAGCGACUUCCUGGACCAAUACUGACGCUCAUGUGCGAAAGCGUGGGGGAGCAAACAGG